ACACCAACAUACGCAAGAGAGUACAAAGAUGCAUAGGAGUGUAGAAAGCUCCCUCGAUUUACCGACAUCCACAUCCUAUCCUCGCUUCGGCGCACCUCUCUCUCCGUCGAGGAUUGACAAUCCGGGAAAUCACGAGGGCGGAGUGUGCAGAGCUGGAGAGCAGCAGCGCAGCUGAUGACUGCACUUGAAUCUGCCAGGAUGAAGAGUUGAGAUGUUUGCAUGUUGUCAAGGGCGUUACAAGUUCAACUGGCAGUACUAGUCUCAUGAAAAAGAAGGGCAACAUCAAUGGAGACAACGCAAUCUGCAAUCAGCUGUGGCAUGGCAGAUUUAAAUUCCACACAUUGUCACUGACAUAAGCCAUCUAGAUAGCAAGAUAGUCACACAAAAUCAAGCCUUGUGAUCCAAAUGCCUAGUUCAAGCAAACCAGUCUGCAAUUUAUCAGACAGAAUGGAAGAAUGCAAG